rnacentral:rRNA from 1 species
GACCCGUAGGUUUUAACCCCUACCCGUAGAGUUUGAACUUGGCUGGUGAAUUUUUGACCAGGGACCCAAAAACUUUUGCCUGGCCUGCCCCUGACUUCGGGAUAAGCCCGGGAAACUGGGUCUAAUACCGGAUAUGACUUCCUGCUGCAUGGCAGGGGGUGGAAAGAUUUAUCGGUUGGGGAUGGACUCGCGGCCUAUCAGCUUGUUGGUGAGGUAAUGGCUCACCAAGGCGACGACGGGUAGCCGGCCUGAGAGGGUGACCGGCCACACUGGGACUGAGACACGGCCCAAACUCCUACGGGAGGCAGCAGUGGGGAAUAUUGCACAAUGGGCGAAAGCCUGAUGCAGCGACGCCGCGUGAGGGAUGACGGCCUUCGGGUUGUAAACCUCUUUCAGUAGGGAAGAAGCCCCUUUUGGGGGUGACGGUACUUGCAAAAGAAGCGCCGGCUAACUACGUGCCAGCAGCCGCGGUAAUACGUAGGGCGCAAGCGUUAUCCGGAAUUAUUGGGCGUAAAGAGCUCGUAGGCGGUUUGUCGCGUCUGCCGUGAAAGUCCGAGGCUCAACCUCGGAUCUGCGGUGGGUACGGGCAGACUAGAGUGAUGUAGGGGAGACUGGAAUUCCUGGUGUAGCGGUGAAAUGCGCAGAUAUCAGGAGGAACACCGAUGGCGAAGGCAGGUCUCUGGGCAUUUACUGACGCUGAGGAGCGAAAGCAU